rnacentral:rRNA from 1 species
GACGGAGGGUGCAAGCGUUGUUCGGAAUUAUUGGGCGUAAAGAGCGUGUAGGCGGUCCGGUAAGUCAGCUGUGAAAGUCAAGGGCUCAACCCUUGAAUGCCGGUUGAUACUGUCGGGCUAGAGUCCGGAAGAGGCGAGUGGAAUUCCCGGUGUAGCGGUGAAAUGCGCAGAUAUCGGGAGGAACACCAAUGGCGAAGGCAGCUCGCUGGGACGGUACUGACGCUGAGACGCGAAAGCGUGGGGAGCAAACAGG